GGCGUUGCCGUCUCUUUCUCUUCAUCCACCAUUCUCUUUUUGGAAAUCUCCCACAUCCUCCGGGCCAAACUCUCUCAGACCGAGCUCGAUCCGAGGGGAUCUUGAUCUCUCUUGUAUGGCAGCCAAUACGAAGGGGUCUUCCACUAUUUUCCAUCGAAAAAGGUCGCCGGACCUAGAUUUUAGCACCGCCGGCCACCGAGUUUCGCCGAGGAUUGCGGUCGCCGGAGGUCGCAGUCGGCAAGGGAAGCUGGGUCAUCGCAUCUGCCACAUGCUGUUGUUGCCAGCGAGAGGGAAGCAAGAAGAGAGAGACAGAAAGAAGGAUUAUUUCCUCUUCUCUUCUCUCUACUUUCUCUCUCCUCUCUCUACUUUCUCUCUAUUUUCUCUACUUUCUCUCUCCUC